AGAGUUUGAUCAUGGCUCAGGACGAACGCUGGCGGCGUGCCUAACACAUGCAAGUCUAGGGGAAAUUCCGGCUUCGGUUGGAAGAGUACACUGGCGCACGGGUGAGUAAUAUGUAAGUAACCUACCCAUAGGUUCGGGAUAACUCGUCGAAAGAUGGGCUAAUACCGAAUGAUGCAGCCGACCCGCAUGGGUAUGUUGUUAAAGCCUAUAUGGUGCCUAUGGAUGGGCUUGCAUCCGAUUAGCUAGUUGGUAGGGUAAUGGCCUACCAAGGCUACGAUCGGUAGCUGGUCUGAGAGGAUGAUCAGCCACACUGGAACUGAGACACGGUCCAGACUCCUACGGGAGGCAGCAGUGAGGAAUAUUGGGCAAUGCCCGAAAGGGUGACCCAGCAACGCCGCGUGGAGGAUGACGGCCGUAAGGUUGUAAACUCCUUUUGAGAGGGACGAAAAAUUCCGAUGGAAUCGGAACUUGACUGUACCUCUAGAAAAAGCCCCGGCUAACUACGUGCCAGCAGCCGCGGUAAUUC
rnacentral:rRNA from 1 species